rnacentral:misc_RNA from 1 species
GAUGAAGAACGUAGCGAAAUGCGAUACGUAAUGUGAAUUGCAGAAUUCAGUGAAUCAUCGAGUCUUUGAACGCACAUUGCGCCCCCUGGUAUUCCGGGGGGCAUGCCUGUCCGAGCGUCAUUGCUGCCCUCAAGCACGGCUUGUGUGUUGGGCCUCCGUCCUCCUCCCGGGGGCCGGGCCCGAAAGGCAGCGGCGGCACCGCGUCCGGUCCUCGAGCGUAUGGGGCUUCGUCACCCGCUCUUGUAGGCCCGGCCGGCGCUUGCCGACACAUCAAUCUUUUUUCCAGGUUGACCUCGGAUCAGGUAGGGCUACCCGCUGAACUUAAGCAUAUCAAUAAGCGGAGGA